rnacentral:sRNA from 1 species
GCCAGGUGCAGUGGCGCACACCUGUAAUCUUAGCAGCUCUGGAGGCUGAGGCAGGAGGAUCGUGAGUUCAAAGCCAGCUUCAGCAAUGGCAAGGUGCUAAACAGCAGCUCAGUGAGACCCUGUCUCUA